UCUUCAUCUUUAUAAUAUACUCCUGCAGG
rnacentral:piRNA from 1 species